rnacentral:lncRNA from 1 species
UGGAUCUCCAGGGAGUGGAGAGGAACCAGAGAUGAGUUCAAUCACCCGUGGCCAAAGUUUUAAUUAGAAGAAGGUUAACUUGUGCUACAGCAUGUUAGCCAUAGGCAGACACAUUGAGAGAACAAAAAGAAAUAGGUGAGAAAAUACAUAGAAGGCAGAACUUGAGGAGCCAUGAGGAAAGCAGAGAUCGCCUGGAAGCUAAAGGAACUGGAAAGGCCAGAAUACGAAGACGGCAUCUAUCACCGUCAUGAAUGAAGGGCCUCGGCCUCUCCACAGCACGGACUGAGGAAACGCCCGGGCAUCCUGGGGAGGAGAGAGCCGGAAGAACCCUGCUCCUCGGUGACCAAGCAGCCACCUAG